GGACCAAUGUAGUGUAAUAACUUCCAGCACAUCCAUCAGGGGCUCAAGUAGAGGAGUGCUAGUUAGCGGCGCUAGCUAGUAGCAUGACAUAAUUACAUCUCAUUGGUUGUCUAAAUACAUUCAUCGUUUAUCUUGAUACGCAUGUAAACGAUCAUGAACAAUG